CAGUCCCCAACUUGGUGAGCAGAUCCACCCCAUCCAUGGCCUGGACUUCCGACCCCCCAGGUGCCCUCCCACCAGUGCUCCUGGAUUAUACAACACACACCACCUGGUUUCUGAGGUGGCCCCAGCGCCUGGAGUCUCAAACUGCUCAAGGCCGUGAGAAGGCCACCGUGGAACAGUGACAAUGAGUCAGAGGAAAAGAGCGCCCCUCUCAUCUCGCCCGUGACACUCAGAUCCAGUGUAGAAAUCACCCCUCGGCCAGCCUGGUUUGCACCGGACGCCUCGGUGUCCUGGUUCCUCACACCCUCUCCUGGAGGCCCCCCGGCGGCUGGCUGCCCUGCUGGGCGAGCGCGCAGAAAGAAGCAGGUGCAGAUGCUCUAAGGCCAGGAGUGAGGUUAGUCCUGGUACCUCUCCUUCCAAACCUGACUCACAGUCCUCCUCUUCCAGGCAGCCCUGACUCCGCGCAAACCUGAGCCUUCCUUUCCCUGACCCCCUCGGCUGGCAAGAAGGGGCUCCACCCACCUGUCUGUCAUGCUCUCUAGUGUUCUCCUGGACGUCCCUGCCCAGGUGCCGUAGGCCGACCUUGUCCUUGAGGAAGGAGGGCGGGGAGCCCGUGAAGGUGGCUGACACCUGCCUCCAAGGCCCCGUUCCCUGAGGGCAGAGUGCUACGGCAGGACGCACACUCAGCAGACAGCCCGCCGACGCUGUGGGCUCAGAGUCGCGAGGUGGAGAGGAGAUGGGCCAGCGACCACAGUGUGAAGACAACAGGAAGCGCGUGAGCAUCUCUCAGGAGGCCUCGGGAGGGAGGGAGGGGCCUUUCAGAUUGAUUGAUGGCCCAUUUUACCCUCUGGUCAAACUAGCGUGGUGGAGAAGACCCAAGGCUGGCACUCAGAACCCCGAGAAUCUUCUGCCACUGCCUUGCUGUGUGCCUUAGGGCAAGUUGCUUACCCUCUCUGAGCUCAUCAGUGAACGGAGACAGGGGACCUAGAGGGCUGGCAAGUGUAACCCUUCUUCCCAGGGAGGGGGAGUCCUUUCCAGGGGGAUGUGGGCAGCCCCAGAAGGAAACUUGUCCCUUCGACUUUAGUGCGUGUCCUGAGGAAUGCAUGUCUGAAGGUGGGGACCCGUGGGUGGAGGUGGGGAGGGAUCGCACCCAGCCCAGCAUGGGUGCAACGGCACCUGAGGAUUUGGAGGGAGAAGCUGGGGGGUGGACCGGCCAGAGCAGAGGCCUCGUGUCAGCCCUGCUUGGUGGCAGGCUGAAUCGCUGCUUAGUGGGUGGGGCUGGCAGUCAGCAUCGACUCAAGUCACCUACCAGUUACUGUUUGCUGUGGGUAGAGUCCUACUGUUCACUAUUUAGCAAGCUGUAAAUAAAAAUGGUAAUAUCUUCAUCAUUGACCCCUUACUGUGUCGGGCAGCACGCCGAUCGCUGAAUGUGGGCUCUCCCACUCACCCUUUAUGGUAACCCAAGGAGGCAGUAUUGACAUUAGGGUCAGUCCAUAGACUGAAGACAACGGGGCACAGAGAGGUUAAGUAACUUGCCUGAAGUCACACAGCUAAGUGGCGGAGUGGAAUUUGAACCCAGGCCUACCAGAGCUGUAGUUCUGGCUUUAGUAGGGCAACACUGGUUUUUAAUGAUAAUAGUGAACAGCCUGGAGGACAUGGGGCCUCUGCCCUUCCUGACCUGCUCCAAGGACUUCUCAGGGGACCGCUUGUCCUCUAUGUGUCCUGCAGCUCAGACGGUCAGAACUACCCUCCAUCGCCCUGAGACUUCUCCCGUGGCCUGGCCGGGGGAUGCUGCCACCCUGCCCUCCACCGGCACCCCGCCGAAUGAGAGGCCUGCCCGGGUCUUUGGUUACAAAAAGACUUUUUAACUUUA